rnacentral:rRNA from 1 species
GACGAACGCUGGCGACGUGCUUAACACAUGCAAGUCGAGCGGAAAGGCCCUUCGGGGUCCUCGAGCGGCGAACGGGUGAGUAACACGUGAGUAACCUGCCCCAGACUUUGGGAUAACCCUCGGAAACGGGGGCUAAUACCGGAUACGACACAGCUUCGCAUGGGGUCUGUGUGGAAAGUUUUUCGGUUUGGGAUGGGCUCGCGGCCUAUCAGCUUGUUGGUGGGGUGAUGGCCUACCAAGGCGACGACGGGUAGCCGGCCUGAGAGGGCGACCGGCCACACUGGGACUGAGACACGGCCCAGACUCCUACGGGAGGCAGCAGUGGGGAAUAUUGCACAAUGGGCGGAAGCCUGAUGCAGCGACGCCGCGUGAGGGAUGACGGCCUUCGGGUUGUAAACCUCUUUCAGCAGGGACGAAGCGUAAGUGACGGUACCUGCAGAAGAAGCGCCGGCCAACUACGUG